UACGAAGGGUGCAAGCGUUACUCGGAAUUACUGGGCGUAAAGCGCACGUAGGCGGAUCGAUCAGUCAGGGGUGAAAUCCCAGAGCUCAACUCUGGAACUGCCUUUGAUACUGUCGAUCUGGAGUAUGGAAGAGGUGAGUGGAAUUCCGAGUGUAGAGGUGAAAUUCGUAGAUAUUCGGAGGAACACCAGUGGCGAAGGCGGCUCACUGGUCCAUUACUGACGCUGAGGUGCGAAAGCGUGGGGAGCAAACAGG
rnacentral:rRNA from 1 species